rfam:Saprospiraceae bacterium KD52 Scaffold1_13, whole genome shotgun sequence.
AAGGGCGAUGCUGAAAACCCUGCCUAAAAAGGCAAAAUAGAGUAGGCA